UGCCUACGGGGGGCAGCAGUCGGGAAUAUUGCACAAUGGAGGAAACUCUGAUGCAGUGACACCGCGUAUAGGAAGAAGGUUUUCGGAUUGUAAACUAUUUUAGACAGGGAAGAAAAAAGACAGUACCUGUAGAAUAAGCUCCGGCUAACUACGUGCCAGCAGCCGCGGUAAUACGUAGGUGGCAAGCGUUGUCCGGAUUUACUGGGUGUAAAGGGCGUGCAGCCGGAGAGACAAGUCAGAUGUGAAAUCCACGGGCUCAACCCGUGAACUGCAUUUGAAACUGUUUCCCUUGAGUGUCGGAGAGG
rnacentral:rRNA from 1 species